AAUGAACGCUGGCGGCGCGCCUAAUACAUGCAAGUCGAGCGAGAAGACGUAGCAAUACGUUUGUAAAGCGGCGAACGGGUGAGGAAUACAUGGGUAACCUACCCUAGAGUGGGGAAUAACUAGCCGAAAGGUUAGCUAAUACCGCGUACGCUCCUUGGACUUCGGUUCAGGGAGGAAAGCGAUGCCGAGGGUAUCGCGCUCUUGGAUGGGCUCAUGUCCUAUCAGCUUGNGGUGAGGUAACGGCUCACCAAGGCUUCGACGGGUAGCUGGUCUGAGAGGACGAUCAGCCACACUGGCACUGCGACACGGGCCAGACUCCUACGGGAGGCAGCAGUGGGGAAUUUUGGACAAUGGGGCAACCCUGAUCCAGCCAUUCCGCGUGAGUGAAGAAGGCC
rnacentral:rRNA from 1 species